UACGAAGGGGGCUAGCGUUGCUCGGAAUCACUGGGCGUAAAGGGUGCGUAGGCGGCCCGGUAAGUCGGGUGUGAAAUCUCGGGGCUUAACUCCGAAACUGCAUUCGAUACUGCCGUGCUUGAGGACUGGAGAGGAGACUGGAAUUUACGGUGUAGCGGUGAAAUGCGUAGAUAUCGUAAGGAAGACCAGUGGCGAAGGCGGGUCUCUGGACAGUUCCUGACGCUGAGGCACGAAGGCCAGGGGAGCAAACGGG
rnacentral:rRNA from 1 species